rnacentral:misc_RNA from 1 species
GAAAUGCGAUAAGUAAUGUGAAUUGCAGAAUUCAGUGAAUAAUCGAAUCUUUGAACGCACCUUGCGCUCCUUGGUAUUCCUUGGAGCAUGCCUGUUUGAGUAUCAUGAAAUCUUCAAAGUAAAUCUUUUGUUAACUCAAUUGGUUUCUACUUUGGUAUUGGAGGUCUUUGCAGCUUCACACCUGCUCCUCUUUGUUCAUUAGCUGGAUCUCAGUGUUAUGCUUGGUUCCACUCGGCGUGAUAAGUUAUCUAUCGCUGAGGACACUGUAAAAGGUGGCCAAGGUAAAUGCAGAUGAACCGCUUCUAAUAGUCCAUUGACUUGGACAAUACUUUUAUGAUCUGAUCUCAAAUCAGGUAGUACUACCCGCUGAACUUAAGC